AGUGGGUGUAAUGUACCUACUAGCCGACGACGGAUACGGGUUGUGGGAGCAAGAGCCCGGAGAUGGAUUCUGAGACAUGAAUCCAGGCCCUACGGGGCGCAGCAGGCGCGAAAACUUUACAAUGCGGGAAACCGCGAUAAGGGGACACCGAGUGCCUGCAUCUUAUGUUGGCUGUCCGCAUGUAUAAAUCACAUGUGUUAGCAAGGGCCGGGCAAGACCGGUGCCAGCCGCCGCGGUAACACCGGCGGCCCGAGUGGUGGCCACUAUUAUUGGGUCUAAAGGGUCCGUAGCCGGUUUGGUCAGUCUUCCGGGAAAUCUGACGGCUUAACCGUUAGGCUUUCGGGGGAUACUACCAGGCUUGGGACCGGGAGAGGUAAGAGGUACUACGGGGGUAGGAGUGAAAUCUUGUAAUCCUCGUGGGACCACCAGUGGCGAAGGCGUCUUACCAGAACGGGUCCGACGGUGAGGGACGAAAGCUGGGGGCACGAACCGGAUUAGAU
rnacentral:rRNA from 1 species